ACGUAGGCACCAAGCGUUGUCCGGAUUUAUUGGGCGUAAAGAGCUCGUAGGCGGUUCAGUAAGUCGGGUGUGAAAACUUUGGGCUUAACCCAAAGCGUGCAUCCGAUACUGCUGUGACUUGAGUACGGUAGGGGAGCGGGGAAUUCCUAGUGUAGCGGUGAAAUGCGCAGAUAUUAGGAGGAACACCGGUGGCGAAGGCGCCGCUCUGGGCCGAAACUGACGCUGAGGAGCGAAAGCAUGGGUAGCAAACAGGAUUAGAUACCCUGGUAGUCCAUGCCGUAAACGUUGGGCACUAGGUGUGGGUUCCAACCAACGGAAUCCGCGCCGUCGCUAACGCAUUAAGUGCCCCGCCUGGGGAGUACGGCCGCAAGGUUA
rnacentral:rRNA from 1 species